UUUAGAAAAAAAAAAAGUCUAAUGUAAAUGUACAAAACUAUGCUUGACAUAUUAUAACAACUUGUUCAACCAUUUUGCAUGUAGAGACUUAUGCAAUGAACUAAUGCCUAAAUGUUGUGUGUGGGGGGAUGAGACUAUUCAACCGAGACUAUUACAAUACAUUUGGAUCAACAUGACAUAAGCAAUUGAUCAUGUAGGAAACAGCAGAGAAUUGUACAUAAUCAUUUGCAUGGAUGUACCAAAGCAUUUGCAACUUGUUCAAAGAAAUGAGAAAGUGCUUUCUAAAAUGUGCAAUAUAA